CCUACGGGAGGCAGCAGUGAGGAAUAUUGGUCAAUGGACGAAAGUCUGAACCAGCCAAGUAGCGUGAAGGAUGACUGCCCUAUGGGUUGUAAACUUCUUUUAUAUGGGAAUAAAAUGUUCCACGUGUGGGAUUUUGUAUGUACCAUAUGAAUAAGGAUCGGCUAACUCCGUGCCAGCAGCCGCGGUAAUACGGAGGAUCCGAGCGUUAUCCGGAUUUAUUGGGUUUAAAGGGAGCGUAGGUGGAUUGUUAAGUCAGUUGUGAAAGUUUGAGGCUCAACCGUAGAAUUGCAGCUGAUACUGGCAGUCUAGAGUAUAGUAGAGGUGGGCGGAAUGCGUGGUGUAGCGGUGAAAUGCUUAGAGAUCACGAAGAACUCCGAUUGCGAAGGCAGCUUAC
rnacentral:rRNA from 1 species